GGUACUUUGGCCGAGUGGUCUAAGGCGCCGUGUUCAGGUGGCAGGAGUGGGUAACACCCACUUCGCAUCUUUCGCGGUCUAGUAAUAGGCGAGGGUUCGAAUCCCUCAGGUAUCA